UGCUGUUUUUAAGCCUGUCCUAGACUCAUGUGUGAGUGCUCGUGAAGGCUAGUGUAGCUUAAUGUUGCUGUUGAAUUGUUUUUGUUUGCUGAUUUCAGGAUUGUGAGUGUGAAGCUGUGUAGGAGAAAUGAGGCUUUUGCUGGCUGUCAGUCUCAUUCUCCUCUUCCUAUGUAAGUAGAUGUCUUUGAAAGAACGCAACCACCACUGAUGAGGUUUAAAAGCUUUGUUUGAUGUAGUUGUGUUUUGCUCUUAUCCAAGUGUGUUGCUAACUUUUCAGGGCUUCACAAGACUCAGACAUCUAGUGUCACCUUGCACAUGAAUGCUUGUGAGGCAGUAUCGCUGAGUGAGGCAGCAGUAUCUCUCCUCUUGUCGCCCCUGUCUCUGUACUCCUGGAUGACCUCCACGUUGCUCAGGUUCCUUCUGUCCGUCCCAGCUCUCGUCUUCACCUCCUUGUAUCACUCCUUGCUGCUGAUCCUGGCUGGGCCUUGGUGUGUUGCCACUGUCUGCUUCUCUCUGCUGGUGACCGGUCUCCAUAUCUCUCUCUACCUACUUCACCUCGGGCUGGUGGCUGGGGCAGUAGCCAUUUUGGCUGUCAGGCAACACAAGAUGGCUGACGGUGACACCCCCAGUGAGAAAGUAUUAAGCCUACAGAAGAGCGUAGAACGGCAGCAAACCAAAAGCAGGCUAAUAAUUGGUAAAAGAGCUGCCCAGCAAGGCUGAGUUGUGCUGUAAAAUGAUGAUGUGUGAAUAAAAAUCCACCUUAUUUAAUAUAUUUUACCUUUUAUUUUUACCUGUUUAUUUAAUGAAAGUAAACUUUUUGUUGAUUUUUACAUAGAUUCUGUGUUUUACUGGGUUUGGGACAACCUUACAAGGAAGCAAAAAGAAAAGGGGAGGGAGGAGCGCAGUAGUGAGUCCUUGUGCCCUAAAUGAGGGUGAAAAUAUAUCUUCUUGUUGCUACUUUAACAAACAGCCUGCAGUUGUCCACUUAUCGGUCUCUCUCAUUUUCUCUCGUCGUCUUUAAACGUGGCCCCCAAUUAUCUGCGGAUUGUUGUGCUGUUUGCUUCCCAUCUGCAGAUGUUAUCAUUAGACGUGUCUGUCAAAUGGAGAUGAGAAGAUAAGAGAAGAACCGAGACGAACAGGAGAAAAUGUUCUGCAUUCGUAACGUUUAUGCAGCGGAGUCCAACGGUGCAGGACAUGCAAACCACAUUCCUGAAAAACACUAAUAAAGCGAGUUAACAGGGAGAGAAACUGCAUGCGGUGGAGGCGUUGAGCCAAGGCGGCAAAUGCUUGCCCAACCAAGUAAACAGCGUAUGCAGACAAACUGUGGCUCCCUGAUCACAGUGAAGCAUUAAAACUGCACAGAAAUAACAGUCUUAUCAAAAUGAUCAACACUGCAGCCGAAGGGUUUAGCCGUUUAAAAAGUAACCGGUGAACUUUCUGUGCUGUUGUCUGUACGAGCGUGCGAGAAAGAGACAGAGAGAGACAGAAGGGAAAUGAGGCUGGAUCAUAGAGAUUUAUUACAUGGCCGUGGCAUCCUAAUUAGCAUAAAGACUGGACUGGCCCACUCAAGCAGAGAAUUAAAAACCUUAAUUGUGCUGUCAGCCUUCCUCUCUCUUUCUCACUGUUGACUCUACUUCAUUCCGCUCGCAUUCGUCUCCUCCCGCUUUCCUUGCCCUCUCCUCUCUGCUUAUGAAGUAGCGAGCGUCCAUGCCGUUUAAUUGUUGGUGAUAAAUGGGAAGCAGGAUGUUUGUAAUUGUCUCAGAGAUUCGUGUGUGUGUGUGUGUGUAGGGGGAAGGACGACAGAGAUCGUCUAGAGGAGGGAGAGGAAGAGGACGAGGAGAGUUAUCCUGUUUUGUAAGAAGAGAGUGGGGAAGCCAUUUAUCAAAUGUUUGUUUGAAGGAGGAAAAUUAGCUUGGCAGACGCAGGCGAGGAAGUGUUAGUUGGAUUUGAUCCCAGGCCAAGCUGAUGCUUUUUCCUAUUUGUUUAAAUCUCCAAUAUAAUUCAGUGCUCACAUUAUAGAAAGUAGAAAUGUUUCAUGUUUAAGCCUUACAAAUGUUUCAGAUUCAUAUGGGGAUUACAUGAUUGAGCAAAUGAGGGUCAGAAAUGAUAUACAAGACAAUAUAGUUCAUAUCCAAAUGAUUAAAUCUGAUUGUAUUGCAAAAUAGACUUAAGAUGAUGUCUGAAAUACUUUUGUUUGACAGACGCUUCUGUAUGUUAAGUGCUAAGUUUGAUAGUCCAGCAGUCUAAAUUUAAACUGUUUGUGUAAAACUGAUACAUUAAUCAUGAUAUGAUAGGAGCUUGGGAUGGCAAGGUGGUGCAGUGGUUAGCACUGUCGCCUCACAGCAAGAAGGUCUUGGCUUCUAAUCCAGUUUGGGGCCUUUCUGUGUGGAGUUUGCAUGUCCUCCCUGUGUAUGUAUGGGUACUCUGGCUCUAUUUAGUGAUUCUAAAUUGACCAUAGAUGUUUAUUUGUUACCCCUUCGAUAGAUUGGCGUCCAGGUUGUACCCUGUUUCUCACCCAGUGAAAGACCAUGAAUUGGAUAAGCAUAAGAAAAUGGAUGAAGAACAGGAACAUGGCAAAGAUAACUACAAAAGCCAAAAACUGCUGAGGAGGAGGAUGGGAAAAGGCGUUAUGAAACAAACAGUCUCUCAAGCUUUCAAUGCGUAAUCUUUGCUUAUUUCACAGGUGAAAACCCCCCCGCUAUGACCAAAUUCUGAUUAGCAAAUUGGAGCACCUUGAACUCAUCAUUUUUUUCCACUGCAAAUGACCAAAAUCAGUUAUUAAUUUAUAUGUCCAUUAUUAAACUAUCUUAUCUUGGAUUUAUUUUUCAACCUGCAGUCACUGUCGCCUGUAUUCUGUCCCUGUCAAAUUACUGUUGAAUAAUUAGAUGCACACUAUGUCAUUUUUAUUCCUCAGACCACUGAAAUAAAUUGGAGGCUCUGCUCUUUUUUUGCCCUUUGCUACGGUAAAUUAUGGUAUUAUAGCUUGAUUGAAGAGAGCUUUAUGAUCUAGAAACUCAGUUAAGUCAGAUUUUACUGAACCUGCUUUCCACAACAGGGUCGGUGUGUUCUGGAUUAAGACCCACUGAAAUAGGUUCUUCAUUUGGUUUCUUUAGUUUUUAGCACUUGUAGCUUUGUUAUAGCUUUUUCUGUUCUUGUAUGCGGACUACACCUCUGACCAUCACAGUGUGAAUAUUUGCCAGUUUCCUGAGAUAAAAUCCAGUGAAAACCCAAUUACAAAAAUACUAAUGGCAUUUAUUCACAUAAAAGAUGUCAACAUAAUCUGAAUAAACGUAAUCUGCUUGUUUGACUGGAGAAAAAUUAGUUGGAUGAAGGAGGGAGGAGGAGCACAGGGAAGAAGUAGGAUAGCAGUGAAAGGCUUUUCUAAAGGAGGAGGAGGAAAUGUUUUUGCGAGGGUCAGUCCUGUUUGUGCGUCUCUGCUGUCAAAGCCUCUCCUGCAGUAGCAGACGAGGUUAAGACUUAGGAGGCCGGGCCCUCUCAUACGGCGUCUCCCUCAGCACUGACAGCUCACUGAGGCACACACAUGCCCACAGACAACACGCACUGCCUUAAACUUUCCACUUUACCCCAGUCCUCCAACCUCCUUUUAAUGCAUCUGCCCUUCUCUUCCCUCUCUGUCUCCUGCUCUCCCUUUGCUUCCAUUUCUCUCAUUGUUUUUCUGUUUCUAUCGUUCUUCUUUUUCUUCUCGCUCUCUCUAAUUGGUCUCCGCUAGGUUUGCUUAGACAGGCCUAUUCAUCAUAGCACUAUCCUCAGAGACAAACCCUCAGGGAGCAAGGGGGAGAUAGACAGAGUCAGACGGGAGGGCGAUAGGGUCUGCCGCUUGUCAACCCACUUCUCUCCUCUUUUCCCCCUCCCUCUUUACUUCCCCCUCUCCCUCGUCUCUCUGCUCGGUACAUAGAUGUCAGUUUUGCAAAGGGAAGUGGGGGUGAGGGAGGUAAAGAGGGAGGGAAUGUAGACACAUUAGUUAGGCUAUUAGUUCAACAAGCUGCUUCCAUGCCUGUCAGUGGUCCAACAUCCAACCACA
ensembl:lncRNA